GAUGAACGCUGGCGGCGUGCCUAAUACAUGCAAGUCGAGCGGACGGACGAGAAGCUUGCUUCUCUGCAGUUAUCGUCGGACGGGUGAGUCACACGUGGAUAACCUACCUAUAAGCCUAAGAUACCGUCAGGGAACCGGAGCUCACACCCGACCAUAUUUUGCACCACAUGGUUCUCAAGUCCACCCCCGUCUUGCCGACCCUUAUACAUACAACCGCGCUGCAUUAGCUAGUUGGUAGGGUAACGGCUUACCAAGGCCACGAUGCAAAGCAGACCUGAGAGGGUGAUCGGGCACACUGGAACUGAGACACGGUCCAGACUCCUACGGGAGGCAGCAGUAGGGAAUCUUCGGCAAUGGGCGAAAGCCUGACGGAGCAACGCCGCGGGAGUGAUGAAGGUCUUCGGAUCGUAAAACUCUGUUAUUAGGGAAGAAGAGAUGUGUAAGUAACUGUGCACAUCUUGACGGUACCUAAUCAGAAAGCAACGGCUAACUUCGUG
rnacentral:rRNA from 1 species